rnacentral:tRNA from 1 species
GGUCACGUAGCUCAGUGGUUACGAGCACCGCAAUUUGCGGAUGGACGCGGAUUCGAAUUCCGUUGUGUCCA